UAAGACUAUUCAAUCCUUUAGAUCUAGACCAAAACUGAUUUUCUUUCAUGCCUCCUCUCUCUCAAGACCAAGAGAGACAGGAGCUUCGAUGAGCCGAGGCUGCGUGGCUCGCCGAGAGUCAGUAAGGAUUUGGGGACGGUUAUAAACGGGUCGUCAUCCGGGUUCUCAGGUUUCAAUUCCGAUGGCGGCGGCUCCAAGGGACAUCCGCUGCCAUGGCUGUCGGUGUCGUCGGCGCAGGGAGUGGGAAAUGAUCAGGGGAUUGGGUUGGGAUCUGCGUCUGGAUCGGUUUCCAGUGGGACUUCGUCGGUGUCGUCCUCUGAUGAGCAGCCAAUUGUGCACGACCCCAGUCAAUUUGGGGCUUUCAGGUUGGUUUGGAUUUUUGGGGCUUUUUGCUAUUUUUGAUCAAAUUGAGUUUCGCUGAAUUUGAUUCAAUUGAAGUGAGUAAGAUGUGCAAAAAUGAACAGUUUUGGCUAAAAGCAGUUGUGAAUUUAUUGGAUUUGAUGAGUGUCAAAAUUAGUAAUUUGUUGGCUGAAACCUGAAAGUCUGGGUUUUGCUGUCAAAUUUGGAUUUCCGAGUUACUUGAGUCUGCUACUUUUUCUGAGUUAGCAAAAUUAGGAAUUUACUACUGGAAAAAUCGAGUCUUUUGCUUUAGAAUUGGUUUGGUCUGUAUAUGGGGAUUUGUUAUCAGUUACAGUCCAACUCCCCUUGUUGAGUUUGCUACUUUUUCCGAUUUUUGUUUUGGCCUUUUCAACUGAUUUUUCCUUCUUUCUGCAAUUGGUGUGUCUUCAUUCAACAACAACAUCAUCUGAUCCCGCUUUAUUUCUUCUUUUUGAGCGUCUUAUACUGAUUUCAGUCUCAAUAUGGUUGUCUCUAGACUACGGAUAGGCUUUUUUUUUUGUUUGUUUGUUUUUUUUUCUUCUCUAUCCCCACAGAAGGUUGAAAUGUAAUGGAACAGUGAGUGGAAGAAGUAUUUUUGUAUUUUGUGAUUACAAGCUCUAGAUGUUAAAGUCAAGGUAUGCAGCUUUACAUUUUUCAUUUUUGUGAUUACAAGUGAUAUCAUGUAAAGUUAUAUUAUUGAUUAGCAAAUGGAGGACUUUGAGAUUUCAAACCACUGAGCUUCUCUCUAUUUUGCUUCAAUUCCAGAAAUUUUCUUUCCUUUCGGUAAGAACUUCUACUUUCUGUUAAAUUCCAGUUCUUAAAGCUAUUCAAGGUUGUAAUGGAAUGCACUUUUGAUUAUUACAUUUUGGUAAACCCAUGAGGAUGGAUAGGACUGGAAAAGACCAAAGUUCAAUUACUGCACUCCCAAGUGUUUGAUGUUAUGCCUCAAAGGCAACACCCAAGCUGAACCAGUGGGCUAUUCCAUGAUUUUUGAAAAACCUAUACUUCUUGUUUUACUCUCAGUUUUUAACAGCUUAAAAUAGACUCUUAAAUGAUCAUUUUGAGCUUGGUUUCAAGAAAAACGGAGUUAAAAUGAGAUACUUGUGCUAUUUUGAAGUUACUGCACUGUUUCAGGAUUUCUGCAGAAUCAGCGUUUCUGUCCAUUUUAGAUUCUUGUUUGACCCUCCAUUUGAACUUCGAUUAGCAUGAAACUUUGCAAAAUAGUAGCUUCGCAUGUCUACUUCAAAUCUGGAAAGUUUUGCUUGAAAUGACUGAAAGACUAAUUGUUGGUGAAAUUUUCUUGCUUGUUACCAGUUUUCUGAAAUUUUCUCAAAACUUGCAGCUUAUUGUUACAAACAAUUGAUUUGAGAACCUUUACACUUGUUUUCUGUCCUCGAUCUUCACUUGAUUUGAGAACCUUUACACUCGUUACAAAAAGUGGAAUUGAAGGACAUCAAAAUUGUUGUGGUUAGUACAUACAUAUUCAUUAUGUUAACUUUGUUUUUGGAGUUCAAUUUUCUACUCAAGCAUAGAGGGAGGGAAAUAUAAGGGAGAAAGCAAGGAGGGAGAGAUGCAGAAGAAUGAAAACAGUAGCCAAGAAAUGGUUUUGUUUAUGUUAAUUUGUAGGCACUGAUAGCAAUCGCUCCAAAUUUCAGCCCUUGUCUCUUCCUAAUGUCAAAAAGAGUGAUAUUAUUCUUUUAUUCUCUACUGAUUUACAAUUUAAUUGUUUCUAUGAACAAUGGAGUAGUGUACUGAUUGUUUGUUGUUAUAUUUGGUUGAUUGAGUUAACGAAAAGUUUGAGAGUUUUGAUCAACUAAUCCCUUCCUUUAUUUUUGUCUUCCCUUAUCAGCAAAUGGAGAAGCAUAUCAAGACACUCAUUGUCCUAUCUCACUACUUGGAGGUGCAGUGUUUUGAUACAAAAUUGUUUGACUAAUCCGGCUAUUUUCAAGUGGUUGAGGUGGAAAUACAGAUUAGAUUCUCCACCUCAGAAGCUAUGGUGGAAAUCUUUCGAUUUUGCAGCUCUCAAGUACAGUUUAUCUCAUUCUCUGAUGUUGAGUACCUGGAAUCCGCAGUUUUCCUGUGGGCAAGGGUUAGGACUAGGCUGCAAAGGUUUGUUUGAGGAUGAGAAAGCACACAGUUAAUUCUUCAACAUUGGCUUGAAGCUAUUGAUCCACACCAUCAGUAUGGACACAAUUUACACAUGAACUAUGAUUUAUGAUUUGAAAGUGAGAGCAGCCAGCCUUUCUUCUACUGACGGAUACCCAUCUGAAUUGUGGGAAGGCACUACUGGAAAUGCUAUUAUGUAUUUAUGUCCCCCUGCCAUCAUAUGUUGCAAAAGACUUGGGACUAUGUUCAAAAGCCGUGAUGGGUCCUGCUGGAAUCUGUUUGCUGUGUUUUUGAACAUUUGAUGGAACUAUGGGCUUAUUUGGGAAGAGAAAUGAUUGAAGAAUGUCAUUGUGUUAUGUUUGUGUACUGGUAGCUUCUUCUUUUUUUGAGGCAAGCGACAUUUUACUGAUCUUUGGCUGUAAUUAAAGAGUUGGUGUAUGAAAAGCAAUUGGAUAGGCAAGAAAUGGAUGACUUGCUGCAGAUGGUACUAGCUUUGGUGUGCAAUUCACACCAAUUUUUUUAUUUUAUUUUUUAUAAAUGAAAUAUUCUUUUGCGACGGCAAAGUAUCCGUCGCAACAAAU